AACGAACGCUGGCGGCAUGCCUAACACAUGCAAGUUGAGCGAGAAUCGAAGGGCUUGCCUUUCGAAGACAGCAGCGCACGGGUGAGUAAUAUAUGGGUAACGUUCCCUUGGGCUUGGAAUAACUCUCCGAAAGGAGUGCUAAUACCAAAUACAUUCACGAGAAGUUCGCUUCUUGUGGAGAAAGCGGGGUAACUCGCACCUAAGGAUCGGCUCAUAUCCCAUCAGCUAGUUGGUAAGGUAACGGCUUACCAAGGCUACGACGGGUAACUGGUCUGAGAGGAUGAUCAGUCACACUGGAACUGAGACACGGUCCAGACUCCUACGGGAGGCAGCAGUGGGGAAUAUUGGUCAAUGGGCGAAAGCCUGAACCAGCAAUGCCGCUGGGUGAUGAAGGCCUC
rnacentral:rRNA from 1 species